rnacentral:rRNA from 1 species
UACGGGGGGAGCAAGCGUUGUUCGGAGUUACUGGGCGUAAAGGGUGUGUAGGCGGUUGUUUAAGUUUGGUGUGAAAUCUCCCGGCUCAACUGGGAGGGUGCGCCGAAUACUGAAUGACUUGGAGUGCGGGAGAGGAGAGUGGAAUUCCUGGUGUAGCGGUGAAAUGCGUAGAUAUCAGGAGGAACACCGGUGGUGUAGACGGCUCUCUGGACCGUAACUGACGCUGAGACACGAAAGCGUGGGUAGCAAACAGG